rnacentral:rRNA from 1 species
AUGAACGCUGGCGGCGUGCCUAAUACCUGCAAGUCGAGCGCACAGACGAGGAGCUUGCUCCUCUGACGUUAGCGGCGGACGGGUGAGUAACACGUGGAUAACCUACCUAUAAGACUGGGAUAACUUCGGGAAACCGGAGCUAAUACCGGAUAAUAUAUUGAACCGCAUGGUUCAAUAGUGAAAGACGGUUUUGCUGUCACUUAUAGAUGGAUCCGCGCCGCAUUAGCUAGUUGGUAAGGUAACGGCUUACCAAGGCAACGAUGCGUAGCCGACCUGAGAGGGUGAUCGGCCACACUGGAACUGAGACACGGUCCAGACUCCUACGGGAGGCAGCAGUAGGGAAUCUUCCGCAAUGGGCGAAAGCUUGACGGAGCAACGCCGCGUGAGUGAUGAAGGUCUUCGGAUCGUAAAACUCUGUUAUUAGGGAAGAACAAAUGUGUAAGUAACUAUGCACGUCUUGACGGUACCUAAUCAGAAAGCCACGGCUAACUACGUG